rnacentral:rRNA from 1 species
UGGGGAAUAUUGCGCAAUGGGCGAAAGCCUGACGCAGCAACGCCGCGUGAGUGAUGAAGGUCUUCGGAUCGUAAAGCUCUGUCGGCAGGAACGAUGGUUUCAUGGGCUAAUAUCCCGCGAGAUUGACGGUACCUGCAAAGGAAGCACCGGCUAACUCUGUG